GACGAACGCUGGCGGCGUGCUUAACACAUGCAAGUCGAACGGUGAUGCUCCAGCUUGCUGGAGUGGAUCAGUGGCGAACGGGUGAGUAACACGUGAGCAACCUGCCCCAGACUCUGGAAUAAGCGCUGGAAACGGCGUCUAAUACUGGAUACGAAACUGGCCCGCAUGGGCAUGGUUUGGAAAGUUUUUCGGUUUGGGAUGGUCUCGCGGCCUAUCAGCUUGUUGGUGAGGUAAUGGCUCACCAAGGCGACGACGGGUAGCCGGCCUGAGAGGGCGAGCGGCCACACUGGGACUGAGACACGGCCCAGACUCCUACGGGAGGCAGCAGUGGGGAAUAUUGCACAAUGGGCGAAAGCCUGAUGCAGCGACGCCGCGUGAGGGAUGACGGCCUUCGGGUUGUAAACCUCUUUCAGCAGGGAAGAAGCGAAAGUGACGGUACCUGCAGAAGAAGCACCGGCUAACUACGUG
rnacentral:rRNA from 1 species